ensembl:lncRNA
CGGACGUGGGGCUCCGGGUGCCGCGGAGCAGCUGCCGGCGAGAGAGCAAGCGGAGCCCGGCCCGAAGAAAGAUUUGCAGCUGCGAUGCUGAGUAUCGCUGCCUGUGUGGAAGGGGGUGAAGAGGAGCAGCCGUGUUGUGUCUGAGCAGCUCUGCCUCUCCAGGCGCUGACUUCUACGGCCUUUUCCUCAGGGUUGUGUCUGGCUGCCUCUCACAGCCCAGGCAAGGAGAUUUUCCUCCUAGUGCCUCCAAGGAUUAUCCCCUUGGACACUGAGAUUAAUGUCUUCCAUCCAUGAACAAAACUCUUUCUGCAGCAAGAAAUAUUGAAUAUGGGGAAUGAACUGGAAGAACCUGCCAUCCUGUCCUGCCA